rnacentral:rRNA from 1 species
GAUUUCAGCAAGCUCAACCAAGCCCUUCUGACCCUGCUUCCCAAGCGUGCCGACGCCAGCGAGCUGUGCGACUAUCGCUUGAUUUGUUUGAUACAUCUCGUGGCCAAAAUAUUCGCAAAGGUGCUAUCGCUCCGACUAGCCCCCAGACUUGGCAGCUUGGUCAGUCGCAAUCAAAAUGCGUUCAUCCCUGCCAGGAGUCUCCACGACAAUUUUGUUCUGGUCAGGCAAUCGCUGAAACUGUUGCAUCAACUCAAGGCCCUGCGGAUCAUGCUUAAACUAGACCUCACACGGGCCUUUGAUUCCAUAUUGUGGCCGCCAUAUCGUGGCCGUUCCUCUUCGAGGUUCUUGGUCAACACGGCUUUGGCCUCGAUUCAGGGAGUGGAUGGCCAUCCUCCUCACAACGGCCAACACCCGUGUCAUGAUCAACAGCGAACCCGGCCCACCAAUCUGGCUCCGAUGCGGUCUGCGCCAGGGAGAUCCCGUGUCUCCGCAGCUUUUUGUGCUCAUGGUUGA